rnacentral:lncRNA from 1 species
AAUAAGAGUUGUUUGAGCUCAGAGAGGAAGGAUGGAGUUUGAAAAAGGAAGCGAAAGGUUAGGUUUACACGAGAGUGAAAGUGUUUUUGAAAUAUCAUGUGACCAUUAUAUAGUAAAACAAUAUGAGUAAAUCAAUCAUCCAUAAUGAAAGAAAAUGGGAAGAGAAAAAUCAAUGGACAAAUUUUACCUCGAAAAUACUGUACUGUGCGGAACUAUGUUUUCAUUGUCACAUUAAAGAAGAAAUAAAAGAUGCUUUUG